AUCCUCUGCAUCGGAUCCUCCAUCUUCGUGGGAAUGGGCUCAGACACUCUCUUCUGGUUCGAUAGGUGGGCUGGCGAUGCCCCCUUCACGGCUCACUUCCCAGACCUGUUCUCCAUCGUGGUAGGCCCUCGGGUCUCCGUGGAGGCAGCUCUUCUUGAUUUAUGGUGCCUCGCGUUCCGUCAACCUUUUGGGCCUCCGGAAUUUCUAGCCUGGCAAGAGCUCCUGGCCGCCGUUGCUCUCCAUGAGCCGGACCUCGACUCGCCAUAGGACCGCUUAUCCUAGCACCUAGAGCCUUCGGGCAGAUUCUCCAUAAAGUCUCUAUACCAGGCCAUCACGGCCACACCCGGACUGGCGCCCCUAGAACAGAUUUGGUCGACCAGGCCCCUGAAGAUCAAAAUCUUCUUAUGGCAAUGGAUCCGCAGGCGCGUCCCCUCCGGUGUUGAGGUGUUAAAACGUAAAGGCCAGGUACAGUGA
rnacentral:rRNA from 1 species